rnacentral:tRNA from 1 species
UUAAUCGAAACCAAAAUAGAGGUAUGUUACUGUUAAUGAUAAAAAUGAGAAAUUUUCUCCGAUUAAG